AGGGCGCACGGUGGAUGCCUUGGCACUAGAAGCCGAUGAAGGACGUGACUAACGACGAAAUGCUUUGGGGAGCUGUAAGUGAGCAAUGAUCCAGAGAUGUCCGAAUGGGGGAACCCGGCAGGUAAUGCCUGUCACUCAUUACUGUUAAGGUAAUGUAGAGGAAGACGCAGUGAACUGAAACAUCUAAGUAGCUGCAGGAAGAGAAAGCAAAAGCGAUUGCCUGAGUAGCGGCGAGCGAAACGGCAGGAGGGCAAACCGAAGAGUUUACUCUUCGGGGUUGUAGGACUGCAAUGUGGACUUAAAGAUUAUAGAAGAAUGACAUGGGAAGGUCAGCCAAAGAGAGUAAGAGCCUCGUAAUCGAAAUAGUCUUUAUACCUAGCAGUAUCCUGAGUACGGCGGGACACGAGAAAUCCCGUCGGAAUCUGGGAGGACCAUCUCCCAACCCUAAAUACUCUCUAGUGACCGAUAGUGAACCAGUACCGUGAGGGAAAGGUGAAAAGCACCCCGGGAGGGGAGUGAAAUAGAACCUGAAACCGUGUGCCUACAACAAGUUCGAGCCCGUUAAUGGGUGAGAGCGUGCCUUUUGUAGAAUGAACCGGCGAGUUACGAUAUGAUGCGAGGUUAAGUUGAAGAGACGGAGCCGUAGGGAAACCGAGUCUUAAUAGGGCGCAUUAGUAUCAUGUCGUAGACCCGAAACCAUGUGACCUACCCAUGAGCAGGUUGAAGGUGAGGUAAAACUCACUGGAGGACCGAACCAGGGCACGUUGAAAAGUGCUUGGAUGACUUGUGGGUAGCGGAGAAAUUCCAAACGAACUUGGAGAUAGCUGGUUCUCUCCGAAAUAGCUUUAGGGCUAGCGUCGAUGUUAAGUCUCUUGGAGGUAGAGCACUGUUUGGGUGAGGGGUCCAUCCCGGAUUACCAAUCUCAGAUAAACUCCGAAUGCCAACGAGAUAUAAUCGGCAGUCAGACUGCGAGUGCUAAGAUCCGUAGUCGAAAGGGAAACAGCCCAGACCACCAGCUAAGGUCCCAAAAUAUAUGUUAAGUGGAAAAGGAUGUGGGGUUGCACAGACAACUAGGAUGUUAGCUUAGAAGCAGCUAUUCAUUCAAAGAGUGCGUAAUAGCUCACUAGUCGAGUGACCCUGCGCCGAAAAUGUACCGGGGCUAAAACAUAUUACCGAAGCUGUGGAUACCUUUAUAGGUAUGGUAGGAGAGCGUUCUAUGUGCGAAGAAGGUGUACCGUGAGGAGUGCUGGAGCGCAUAGAAGUGAGAAUGCCGGUAUGAGUAGCGAAAGACAGGUGAGAAUCCUGUCCACCGUAAGACUAAGGUUUCCAGGGGAAGGCUCGUCCGCCCUGGGUUAGUCGGGACCUAAGGAGAGACCGAAAGGUGUAUCCGAUGGACAACAGGUUGAUAUUCCUGUACUAGAGUAUAUAGUGAUGGAGGGACGCAGUAGGCUAACUAAACCAGACGAUUGGAAGUGUCUGGCCAAGCAGUGAGGUGUGAUAUGAGUCAAAUGCUUAUAUCUAUAACAUUGAGCUGUGAUGGGGAGCGAAGUUUAGUAGCGAAGUUAGUGAUGUCACACUGCCGAGAAAAGCUUCUAGCGUUAAUUAUACUCUACCCGUACCGCAAACCGACACAGGUAGUCGAGGCGAGUAGCCUCAGGUGAGCGAGAGAACUCUCGUUAAGGAACUCGGCAAAAUGACCCCGUAACUUCGGGAGAAGGGGUGCUGGCUUUCAGUCAGCCGCAGUGAAUAGGCCCAAGCAACUGUUUAUCAAAAACACAGCUCUCUGCUAAAUCGUAAGAUGAUGUAUAGGGGGUGACGCCUGCCCGGUGCUGGAAGGUUAAGAGGAGUGCUUAGCGUAAGCGAAGGUAUGAAUUGAAGCCCCAGUAAACGGCGGCCGUAACUAUAACGGUCCUAAGGUAGCGAAAUUCCUUGUCGGGUAAGUUCCGACCCGCACGAAAGGCGUAACGAUUUGGGCACUGUCUCAACAACAGACUCGGUGAAAUUGUAAUCCCGGUGAAGAUGCCGGGUACCUGCGACAGGACGGAAAGACCCCAUGGAGCUUUACUGUAGCUUGACAUUGAAUUUUGGUGCUACAUGUACAGGAUAGGUGGGAGGCUAUGAAGUCGGGACGCCAGUCUCGGCGGAGCCAUCCUUGGGAUACCACCCUUGUAGUACUGAGAUUCUAACCAGAUACCUUGAAUCAGGUAUUGGGACACUGUCAGGUGGGCAGUUUGACUGGGGCGGUCGCCUCCCAAAGAGUAACGGAGGCGCUCAAAGGUUCUCUCAGCACGGUCGGAAAUCGUGCGUAGAGUGUAAAGGCAGAAGAGAGCUUGAUUGCAAGACAUACAGGUCGAGCAAGGACGAAAGUCGGACUUAGUGAUCCGGUGGUUCCGCAUGGAAGGGCCAUCGCUCAACGGAUAAAAGCUACCCUGGGGAUAACAGGCUUAUCUCCCCCAAGAGU
rnacentral:rRNA from 1 species